rnacentral:lncRNA from 1 species
GCCUUUUUUUGCAUUGUCACUACCAACUUAUUAUCUACAUUCAUCUGCAGAACGGAGCAAGAUGCCAAGAAAGAAAUAUAACACAAGAAAAGUAAGUUCCCCCAAUCGUUCAAAACAAAUACAUACAUAGACAAAAAAAAAAAAGACAUAUCAUAUCACACUUAAAUAUUACCACUCUAAAAAGAAAAGGUCAAAAGACUAACACACAUGUAGAAAGACGACCAACAACAACACUAAACAUGUUUUGUGUAUUGAUUACUUCCACCAUCACUAACUUCAUCAUCAUUAAUAAUUUGGUUUUUUCUCUUUCUACUCUUAACAGCAUUAGUGACAUGAAAAUCUCCCACAGAAUCUUCCAAAUUAUUUGAUAAGAUAUCAUGAGGAUCCUGUAAUUUUUUAAUCAAGGAAAUUAUAAUUAUGAGUAAACUGAACAUGCUAAUUUUAAUCAUAAAGGAAAACAUUUGGGAAAUAAAAGUAAAUAAAAUUACCAUUUCUUGGGAAUGUCAUUCAUUUCUUUCAUAAUUUCCACAUUUUCAUGAUCUGUAUUGUUUUCCUACAAAACACAACAAUUAAAUAUUUUUUUAACAUUACAUAUAUUGCCUACAAAUUGAACCUAGCAUAGGUAGAUAAUACCUUUUUAUCCUUCUUCAAUUCUUGUUCUAGUUCCAAUUUCUCAUCAUGGGUGAAAAGCUUUGACGCAGUAAAAUUCUCAAGUCCCUCUUUCAAAUUGUAAUCAUUCAAUUUUAGUUCGUAAACAAAAUUUUUUUCACAAAGGCUUUGAAUUUCUGCAGGGACAUCCCUACUAUAUAAAGGUAGUCUAUUAAACAACUUGUGAGCUGAUGUAUCAAGUAACUUCUCAGCUACAUGAUUGAAUAAGACAAAAGUUGUCUCUGCAGUUUUAUCCAUGACUUUUAUAUGUAUUUGCUACCUACAUUAGAAUAAUGAAUUAGAGUGAAAAACUAACAACAUAAUAAGAUUUUAAAAAAAUUAAUAUUAUUUUUCUUACAUCACAAGAGGAUAGUCACAUUCCUUUUUGCAAGUGCCACACAUAUAAAUACCAUUUGUAGGCAUGACCUUUUUUAUGCAUAUUUUGCACGAAACAUAGUACCAUCUAAAGGAGCUGUCUAUUUCUCUAAUCUUGCCCUGCACAGUAACAAUAUAUUCCUACAAUUAAACAAUAAGCAUUUUCAAAAAUAAUAAGGACAUUCCAACAUUUAGGAACAAAUAACACAAAUGGAUGAGAAGGAAAAAAGAAAAAUAGAAAAACCACCUUCACUUGAGAACUUCAAUCAGCCUCCAACAAUUCUUUAAUGCUCAUCAUAUUGAGGAACAUCUCUUCCUCAAAAGUAAUCUUAUUCACAUUCGAACUUUCAAUAACUUGCACAACGUUGGAGAUGGUAGAAAAUCUUUCAAUUAAUAAUGCUACAUAAUACAUUUGAAGAUUUAUGUAGAUUUUGCUUGCACUUGUGGUAGAGAAACUAACCUCACAUGUUUAGAGCAAAUGUAACCUAAAACGAAACUUGAACAAAAUCCAAAAUUGUGUAUAAUAUUAAGAUAGCCACAUUGUAUUUGAAAAUGUUAAUUAGUGGGAUAUAAAUAAAAUAAUCACCUUGGAAUUUUUUAAUAGUUGUAGGAAGUUACUAUUACAAUACAAGGACCCUCGUCUUUCUUGUACAAGUUUGGAUCAAACAUGUCCCCUAACUUUCCCCAUAAAGUAAUCUUUGUUGUUACCGAGCUAUCCAUAAAUAUUAACAAAAGUUAAUAAUGUAAAGAGAAACAAUAACUAAAAAAUAACAUAAAUAACUAAAAAUUAUAAAUUCAUAGUUUUCUUGAUUAUAUUCAACUUACUAAUAUGUUAGAACUUUUAUAUCUCUUUUUUUCCAACCAGCUCCAACGAUCUCAAUAUCACCCACACCACAUAAACUUCUGAUAACAUAUGUAAUAUUAUGAAAAAAUAACAUAAACAUGUUAAAACAUAAGGAUUAAUAAUUUCUGGGAAAUUAUCAGCCAUAUACCCUUAAAUGACAUCCGUAUCAAACGUGUGUGAACAUUUUUCAAGUGUAUCACUCGUAUACCCUAAGUUGACAAAACACUUCUGCCGUCCACCAAUCCGUUAACUUCCGUUUGCAAGCGCUGACAUCAUAAGGGUAAUUUAGUCUUUUAAGAUUGACAAAAUUUUGAUUUAAAAAAACGACAUGUCUUCCUAUUUACCUAGUAAAACAUGACAUGUCAUAUGAUAUAUAUUGAUAAAAAUGACAUGUCAUCCUAUUUAUCAGAUAAUUAUUAAUAAUUACUAAAAAAAACUACUUUACAACCGAAUCUACUCCUCCAAAAUUUA